GCUGGGCAUGGUGGUGCAUGCCUGUAAUCCUAGUGGCUCAGGAGGCUGAGACAGGAGGAUCUCCAGUUCAAAGCCAGCCUCAUCAAUGGUGAGGUGCUAAACAACUCAGUGAGACACUGUCUCUA
rnacentral:sRNA from 1 species